rnacentral:lncRNA from 1 species
AAAAGCUAGAACUAAUCUUGGCCUCUAUUGAUGUCCACAUAUUGCAGUUUUACCUAUUUAAGUGAAAAACGUCUUGCUUAAGACUUUUGUAGUCCCUCUAGUUUAUCUGGUUAUUGUCAUUCUCCUAUGGAUCCUUAAUACAGACUAAAUAACAAACUCUAGAUUUAAAAAAUGUAUUAACCUAGUUUCUCUUCUACUCUAAUAUUUGUCAACUCAUAAAUGUUUGCUAUAGAACUCCAAGUACCUAGGUGAUGGAGUUGCAUUUGCUGCCAGUUUGAAAAACAGAUGACAGAACACGCCCAUUUGUGUAAUUAGUUUAUUUAAAUACUGAUUGAACAAAGAGGAUUGCUUUUUACAUGCAAAGUAUGGCAAUUGGUAGCUCAAAGUGUUAUCCAGAUAUCUGCUCUUCUUUCUGUUAGUAAUUUUUUUCAUAUGUUGAUCCUUUUGUUGAAAACCACACCAAAAGAUACUCUUCAAAAUAUAUCCAUUAAUUCAACCUCUCCUUCUCCUUGUUUUAGUCCCUCACUGGUCUAGUAUUUCAUCCCAGUGAGAGGCAGAAUAAUGGCCUCCCAAAGAUGUCUAUGACCCAACCCUUGAAACCUAUGACUAUGCUACUUUUACUUGGCAGAUAUGAUUAAGGUUGAGGGCCUUGAGAAAGGGAGAUUAUCCUCAAUUGUGGAGGUAGGCUCAAGCCUAAUCACAUGACUCCCUAAAAGAAACUUUGUGGCUGAGGUAAGAGUGAGAGGUUACAGAGAGAUUCUACCUUGCUAUUUUUGAAGUUGGAGGAAGGAGGACAUGAGCCAAGGAAUACCAGGGAGCCUCUAGAAGCUGGAAAGGGCAAGGCCCUGGAUUCUCCUCUAGAGCCUCCGGAAAGAAAACAGCAUUGCUAAUAAACCCUUGAUUUUAGCCCUCUGAGACCCAUGCCAGAUUUACAGGACCCUGAAUAAUAAAUUAUUGUGUUAAGCCACUAAAAUAGUGGGAAUUUGUUACAGCAGCAACAGAAAAUGGAUACAACCUUCAAGAAUUAAUCUCAUUGUGAAAAAAAAAAACUUAUGGGCCGAUGAAUGAUUAUGCUUUUCAGAUGAGAAUGCCAUUCACAAGUAUCCAAUAUCACUUCUAAAGUAUUUUUUCCUAUUAAGAUAAUUUACACAUAUUGAACCCUCAACUUUGGGAGGCAUGGAUGAGUGUGAGGUUAAACCUAAGCCCUAUUCCCUGCACUUUUUGGUUUUUGAUACUGUUGUGCUAUCUUCCCCAGAAGAUGUAAAAUAAAUAUCUAAGUAAAAAAAUUUUGUAUUUCCUAGAGAGUCAAGAAAAUAAAUUAUUUAUUCAAAAUAUGGAAUGGCAAAAAAGCCUGUCAUUUUAAUUCCAAUUACAUGUCGAACCUCUAUUUUUCUCAUUCUUUCACCUAUGAACUAUCUCUUAUUUUUAAAAAAGUACUGAAAAGUAAUAAAAAAAAUAGCAUUGUCAUGUUCAUUAAAUUUUGGUCCAUCUAUGAAACACAAACAAAAACACAUCUUAUAAAUACAUCCUAGAAAAACUGCAGGCAAAAUGUCGUUUUCAACAUUUAAAAUAGACUGGGAAAAACUGAAGCUUUAUCAGAAAUGUCUAUUAAUACAGAUUUUGUAACAAUUCAGAAAUAUAUUUGGUUAUGACUGAAUUCCAAGUUAUUAAAAAAACUGUCAAAAUCAGUUUUUAAAACAUGAGACAUUAUAUAAUAGAGGCUUAACUACAAAUAUAAUUACGCUAUUAAUCUAUCAUUAUCUUUGAUGACUAAAAUGACAUUUUUCUUUAAAAUAUAAAAUUUUGACUCUUUACAAAUUUGGACAGGACUUCCACAACUCUACGUUGAUGAUGAGGUUUUACCGCAUAUAAUUAAAGAACAUCUGCAUGUUAAGUGUUUCAUUUUUCAGUAGCUGUGUUCACAGCAUACCCAGCUUUCCUUCACCUAUCGAACAUGUUACUAUUUCAGAGCAUUUUUCUCUCACUAGAUAAGGUUCUGAGGAGGAGAUGCUCUAUUAGAAGGGCAGCUGUUGGGAAGUAGCAAUCUAAUCACAACCGACUAGUCCUAAUGCUAGGCAGAGAAAAUAACUUUUAUAAGAUACACUGUCCUUUGCUUUCAGUCCCCUCACCUCAAGUAAGAGGAAAAAUAAAGUGAGAGUUCUAAGGGACGUUAAAUUUGAUUUUUUUUUUUUCUUGAGUCACUUAGGCCACAGUUCACUGAACUAUAAUUCAAGUAUAAUAAGCCUUAAAUAUGCAAAGUAUUUUUGAUUAGUUUUGACAUCUGAAACCAUCGCCACAAUACAAAUAAUGAACAUUAUUAGCUCCUCAAAUUUCCUCAAGUCCCUUAGUGAUUCAUCCUAGGCCUCUCCACUACCCUCAGCCCGAAGCCUCAGCAACCACUGACCUACUCUCUGUCACUACGGAUACAUCUGCAUUUCCUAAAAUCUUACAGAAAUAAAAUCAUACAACAUGCAUUCUUUUUUGCCUGGCUUCUUUCACUCAGCAUACUUAUGUUGAGAUUUGUCCAUUUUGUUGCUUAUAUCAAUAGUUCUUUUCUCUUUAAAUCUGAGUAGUAUUCCUAAAGUUCAUUUUUUUAUUCAUAUCAUGAAACUUGAGUGGACAAAUUAAUGAACUGGGAUUCAUGGUUAUCUCUGCGGCCAAAUGCUACAUGUACUUUGCAAGAUAACAUUAUGAAAUUAGUAUAGUAUUUACCAUUAAAAAAAUGUUAACCUCAGCUCAGAGAUUCCAUUACUUUGGCAAUGAGCAAAUGGUUCUUAGCAAGAGGUUAUUGCUGCAUAAAAUAGGAAGGAAAUUUGGAGAGGGGGAAAAACACAAAUGCCCUGUGCCAUCAUUGCCGAUGCCUGAAAAGGAAGAAUUACAAAACCUCAGUUUGAGAAAACAUAUUUUUUGUACUUCAUUAUUUUAAGGAUUGUGUGAAUAUAAUUAGAACAUAAAAGCAAACAGCAGUUUAAAGACAACUUCCGAUAAAAGUUAGAAGAACUAGGAUUUGAGUAAGGGAGAAGGGGGCUAUCAUCUGGGCCACAGCCAUUCCAGAUGAUACUCUUUGUUUUCCCAAAGUAUGAAAGCUCUGUUAAAAAGAUAUAGUGACGUUAAUUCUAGAAUUCUGCAAUUGUGGUGUUGUGAACAUAUUUGCAAUAUUAAUUAAAACGAAAAAUGAAAAUACUUUUAUAGUCUAAGCACUGAGCAUUUGCUCACAAAACAGAAUUCUCUGCUUAUCAAAACAGUCUCCACAAAUGGACCAAAUCAAUAUACAUUAGUAUGUAAAUAAGAAAACACCAAUGUUGGUCAGAGAUAGGAAAGGGAAAAUCCCUCUUCUAUCAAUAUCCUGUACACCCUAUCUCUUGUCCUGUCACUGCUCCUAACCAGCAGAAUCCAAGCCUGACAAUUUCUCCUCUAUCUCCUUUUCAGGUUUAACUGCCUCAACCUAGUGGGUAAAGGCUAAAGUUUCUCAGAGCUCAACUGUCAGCCCUCUCUUUUUUCUGUCUCUGACAAUCUCAUCCAUUCUCAUAUCCUUAAUUGUCACCUCUACAUGGUGACUCACAACAGUGUAUCUCCAGCCAAGACCUCCCCUCAUAGCUCUAGACAUACAUCUAUUCACCUACUUGAAAAAUUCUGUUGGAUGUUCCUAAGUCACCUCAGAAUAAACAUGCCAAAACUCAACUUUUUUAUAUUCCCAACAUGAUUCUCUUCCGUAAUUCCCUCUCUUGGUGAAUGAUUCAUCUAGCUACCCACACACUGGAGCCAACCUUGACACGUCCCUCUUCCUCAUCCCCUUCCUAACCACCAUCGGUUCUUGCUUUUACCCCCUAAACACAGUACCUUUCUUCAAUCAGUCCACUUCUAUCCAUUCUGCCUGCUUUCUUCUACUCCAAAUUGUCAUCAUGGACAACAGCAAUAACUUGCUAACAAGUCAACCCAUACUGCUUCCAGUCCCCUUUAUUUAGUCUCUGUAAUUCAGCCAGAGGGAUCCUUCUAUACAUAUAUCAUCCCCUCUUGACUCUCAGUAUAUCUCAAAUUCAACCAAAACUUUUUACCGUACCUACUCAAUAUCCUUUUAAUCUAUCUACUUUUCUCCACUUCCAAAGCCACUCAAGUAGACCCUGACAUCAUCAACUCUUGCCUAGAUUAUACCAACCACUUCAAACUGCUCUCUUCACUUCCAGUCUUUGCUCCUUCAUCUGUUUUAUAAGUU